UGGCGAACGGGUGAGUAACACGUGAGUAACUUGCCCUUGACUCUGGGAUAACUUCAGGAAACUGGGGCUAAUACCGGAUAGGAGCUCCUGCUGCAUGGUGGGGGUUGGAAAGUUUCGGCGGUUGGGGAUGGACUCGCGGCUUAUCAGCUUGUUGGUGGGGUAGUGGCUUACCAAGGCUUUGAUGGGUAGCCGGCCUGAGAGGGUGACCGGCCACAUUGGGACUGAGAUACGGCCCAG
rnacentral:rRNA from 1 species